rnacentral:rRNA from 1 species
CAGUCGCCGCGGUAAGACAGAGGUCCCGAGCGUUGUUCGGAUUCAUUGGGCGUAAGGGUGUGUAGGAGGUUGGGUAAGUCAGGUGUGAAAUCUCUCAGCUUAACUGAGAAACUGCGCUUGAUACUGCUCAGCUAGAGGAUCGGAGGGGGUAACGGAAUUUAUGGUGUAGCAGUGAAAUGCGUAGAUAUCAUAAGGAACACCGGUGGCGAAGGCGGUUACCUGGAAGAUUCCUGACUCUGAAACACGAAAGCCAGGGGAGCAAACGGGAUUAGAUACCCGCGUAGUCCCUGUCUCUUAUACA